AUGGAGCCGGCGACAUCGCAAGAAGGGGACUGCUGGUCGUCUCUCCCGGCGGACCUGCUCGUGCUGAUUCUGAAACGUCCGCGGUGGUCGAGCCAUCCCAGCUUCGCCCUGGUGUGCAAGCGAUGGCGCUCCGCCGUGUCGCCCUUCUACCCGGCGUGGAUAACCCCGCUCCUGCUCAGCUCCUCCAACGUCGGAACCAACAACGUCCGCUACUACAGCCCCUAUUAUCACAAGAAUUUCGAGGUUGCCGACAACGCCUUGCCGGGCGCCAAGAUCGGCUGCGCCGCCGGGCAGCACCUGGCGCUGUUCCUGGACGACCACCGAAUCCUCGACCUCCAACUCACGAGCGGUGCCGCCCACGAGCUGCCGCCGAUUGACGAGGCGUUCAAUGCCAGGUACGACUUCCUCGUCUACGACGGCGAGCAGACGAUGUACGCCGUUGACCCCAAGUACGGCAAGGUGCAGAUCGCCCGUGCAAUCAAAAACAACGUCGGCGGGUGGGGUGAUUGGGCAAAUACGGAGUUUUAUCUCGACGAGCCACAGAUCAUGGCUUCCCCGGACUGCAACCCGGUCCUCCACGGCGGCGCCAUGUACAUCCUAGGAGAAGACGGGCGGCUGGGCGUGUACGACGAGGAAGGGCACGUUCAAAGCUUCCAGGUUCUCGAGAAGCCCCUGAGCUUCGGGUCCGACGAACGCGAAGAAAAGUACCUCGUCGAGGAUGACCGGGGCGAGCUAAUGGCCGUUCUGUUCAGCCGACGCGGGGCGCCGGUCGACGUCGUCAAGCUCGACAAGCGCGCGAUGGAGUGGAAGAAGGUUGAGAGCCUUGAGGGAAGAGCCUUGUUCACCGGCACGCGCACGACGAUGGUGAAGAAGACCGACCUCAAGUGCAUGCAGAACAAGAUUUUCAUUCCGAGACUACACGACUGGCCCGAGACUGUCCAUGUUGAUAUUGUUGAGCGAGACGGUGAACUCGCCUUCCUGCCGAAAGAAGGAUGCGCAGGUGUUAAGACUGGCAGUUGUGGCACGGGCAUAUGGUCUCACCAACUGGGACAACACCAAGAAGCAAGCGGGUUUUGGGGGACAGAGAGACUAGACUAUAGUAUCUGGGUUGAUUUCGAUGGUGCUACUUGA
rnacentral:rRNA from 1 species